rnacentral:rRNA from 1 species
AAGCGGAGGAAAAGAAACUAACAAGGAUUCCCCUAGUAACGGCGAGUGAAGCGGGAAGAGCUCAAAUUUGAAAUCUGGUAGCCUUCGGUUGCCCGAGUUGUAAUCUAGAGAAGUGUUUUCCGUGCCGGCCCAUGUACAAGUCCCUUGGAACAGGGCGUCAUAGAGGGUGAGAAUCCCGUCCUUGACAUGGACCCCCGGUGCUUUGUGAUACACUUUCAACGAGUCGAGUUGUUUGGGAAUGCAGCUCAAAAUGGGUGGUGAAUUCCAUCUAAAGCUAAAUAUUGGCGAGAGACCGAUAGCGAACAAGUACCGUGAGGGAAAGAUGAAAAGCACUUUGGAAAGAGAGUUAAACAGUACGUGAAAUUGUUGAAAGGGAAACGAUUGAAGUCAGUCAUGCUCUUGGGACUUACCUCCCUUGAGUGGGGUCAACAUCAGUUUUGAUCGAUGGAUAAAGGCACGGGGAAGGUAGCACUCUCGGGUGAACUUAUAGCCUCGCGUCAUAUACAUUGAUUGGGACUGAGGAACGCAGCAUGCCUUAUGGCCGGGAUUCGUCCACGUACAUGCUUAGGAUGUUAC